rnacentral:rRNA from 1 species
UACGUAGGGACCGAGCGUUGUCCGGAUUCAUUGGGCGUAAAGAGCUCGUAGGCGGCCACUCAAGUCGAAUGUGAAACCUCGAGGCUUAACCUCGAGCCUGCAUUCGAUACUGGGCGGCUAGAGUCUGGUAGGGGGAUCUGGAAUUCCUGGUGUAGCGGUGGAAUGCGUAGAUAUCAGGAGGAACACCAAUAGCGAAGGCAGCUCGCUGGGACGUAACUGACACUGAGGCGCGAAAGCGUGGGGAGCGAACAGG